AAUUUUACAUGCUGUAUAUUGCGCAAAUGCAAUUGUAUUUUUUGAAGUUAUGAGAUAUUACACUUCACUUGUAUUAGGCGUUCGUUUGUUUAAAAUGCCAUUUCUUAAAAUUAAAGUUUGAAACUGUCGCUGGCGUCACCGUGGCCCGGGACACACUAAGCCGACAGCAGGUGGUGCAACGUCGGCCACUCGGUCAGGCGAGUUGGUAUUUUGUGUUCACGCAUCGGUUAGAUGUGCCAAGUGCCAUCGGUUUGGUGUGUCCGGGGCUUUAGCUGUCUGCACAACUGCCGGUAAGCGGGGUUAGGUUGGUUUUGUUUUCCGAUACUCCUGACACAUUCAGACGGUCCCUUACCGAGCAUGAGGCGCCACGCAGCGCGAGCUCUCCCGGCAACUGUUAAACGCAGAUUCCGAGGGCUUGAACGAAGCAGUGCUCGUAAUUUCGAGCGAAAAAAAAGAAAAAGACAGCUGUGAAUUAUAACCAGCUUUGUAUUUUUGUAGGAAACACAGUUUAGAUAUUUUAGGGUAAGAGGUUUUUGAGUUAUUGCCGUCCAUCACUGAACCUGUCAGGAAUAUCGAAAACAAAACCAACUUAACCCCUCUCUGCCGGUAUGUGGUCGUGGUGUGCUUUUUACAAGAUUAGUCAGCAUGCAAGACUGUGUCUGACCGCUGGUUUUAAGGUUAGAAACUAGUCAACUCCAGCAUUUACUAAUAAGUAAUAUUGAAUGGGAAGAGGAUUAAAAAUGAAAACAUAGUGUAUCCCACGAGUAUGUGGGAAAACACCCACUGCUGCACCUAUGUUUUUAACGAAUUGUGGGAUCACGCAAAACAUCUUAGAACUGAUUUUAUAUUAUAUUUUGUAUUUUAGAACAUCAGUGCUUAAUAAAUGUUUUCAUAAUCUGGUCAUAUGUUUUAUGAGGCAUAUUACAUAUAUGAUGCUUAUUAAAUGAAGCAUAGAUAUUAAUAUAUGUAAUUUUAAUGCCUUUAUUUUUGUAAAUUAAGUACACAGUCUGUUAUUUCUGCAUAACUGACCCUUGUCAAACAGCCUUGAUCAGAGAAGCAGAGAUAAACUACCGUAUUUCCCCAAUUAAUCGCCAUUCUGAAAAUAGUUCUUUUAAAUGCCUGGGGUUAUAAUUCAUUUUUGCGUUUUAAACACCCACCCGAAUAACCCCCAGUGGUGAUUAUAUACAUUAAAUUGUGUAAACACAAAAUCAACUGUUUAAAAUUUAAGCGAGGUACAUGUCUGAUAAUUUCUUUUGUGUAAUUUUCAUUUUUAUUUCUGUUGCAGGCAGAGUCUGUAUAUGUGGACACUCACUAUUUGCCCUCGCUACAGUUUCUCUUGUCUGUCCCCCACAAGCAGAGACCCACUGAUAGACCGCUGUUACCAGUUCUAGGGCUGACACAUCCGCACACGUCCACAUCACAAGUGUAUCCUGUAAAGAUCAAGGAGGAGCAUCACAACAGUUUCGUUGAAGUAGACAUUCUAGUGGAAGCUUGAUGAGUACACACCAGGUUUUGCAGCUAAUGCAUGCCAAAGGAGGAGCAGCUAGUUGCAAGAUGCAUCCUCUGCUGGACAGUUUAAAUACACAGAACAUUGAGGAAAAAAGAGAUGCUGUUGUCUGCUGCCUCAGUAACUACCUUGGGAAAGACAAG